rnacentral:rRNA from 1 species
GAUGAACGCUGGCGGCGUGCCUAAUACAUGCAAGUCGAGCGAACAGACGAGGAGCUUGCUCCUUUGACGUUAGCGGCGGACGGGUGAGUAACACGUGGGUAACCUACCUAUAAGACUGGGAUAACUUCGGGAAACCGGAGCUAAUACCGGAUAAUAUUUCGAACCGCAUGGUUCGAUAGUGAAAGAUGGCUUUGCUAUCACUUAUAGAUGGAUCUGCGCCGUAUUAGCUAGUUGGUAAGGUAACGGCUUACCAAGGCAACGAUACGUAGCCGACCUGAGAGGGUGAUCGGCCACACUGGAACUGAGACACGGUCCAGACUCCUACGGGAGGCAGCAGUAGGGAAUCUUCCGCAAUGGGCGAAAGCCUGACGGAGCAACGCCGCGUGAGUGAUGAAGGUCUUCGGAUCGUAAAACUCUGUUAUUAGGGAAGAACAAACGUGUAAGUAGCUGUGCAGGUCUUGACGGUACCGAAUCAGAAAGCCACGGCUAACUACGUG